UCUAUUUUUGUGUGUUUUCUUUGUUUAUUAGUCUUCUUCUUUUCAAAUGGAAAUGGCUCACUUUUGUGACACGAAAUUGCGUUGAUUUUCAUUGAUGACAAUUUUUUUGUAUGAACAUAAAAUACAAAUAGCCAAUGUAGCAUAAAAUUAAUUAUAUACGGUCGACCGGCGUUGAGAGUAGUUGAAUGGGGAGGGCGCAUAAAAAGUUCAUACUGACGCUACCACUAAACUUAAUUAAAACAAAUGAAUUUGCUAUUUUGUAACGUAUUUGUGGAAAUUGAUGGAUUUGUAUGUCGAUAUGCAUGUGUCUCAGAAGCUGCACGCCUCAAUCGCCCUAUUAGAAGUGCAGCAUUAAACGUUAAGCGAAAUCAAUACAGGUGGCCCACCUGGAAGAUCACCACUUCAUAACAUAUCAUGCAGGAAGCAGGCGCCACAGGAUAUGCAAAACCUCAUCUAAUGAAAGCUGGCAUAAAUGCCUGGAUUUUGUACACGCAAACGACAGGAGAAAAAAUCUCAAGACCAGAUAUUUUACUCAAGCUAGCUGCAGAACUUGGCGCCGAUCUUCGAGAAGCCCCUGAACAAUCUAAAGAAAGAACGAAUACGAAAGGAUCGUUGCCUAAGUCUACUACGGAUGCUUGUCAACGUAAGAGGUGCCAAAUAGGAUAAAUAGGACAAAAUUUGCUCUUAAUGUAAAAAAAUAUGUGUGCGGAAAAUGUACAAUAGGCACGCUUAUAUGUAAAAAGUGUGAUGAGCAAUGAAUUAAAAAUUCUUAUUUUUGCCAAAGUAAGUAACCGUCCAAGCCAAGAGUGUUUGUAGGUAUGUAGCAUAGCGACCGAUAUUGUUGGCCUCAAAGGCUGUCAGAAAAUAUCAAGCUGAAACAUCAAAAUUAUAAAAGAAUAAAUAUUUAUCAUGCAGUUGUGAAUAGUUUCCCGAAAUGAGAAAUCUGAGAAGCAGAGGCGAGCUCAUACAAGUUAUUAGCGAGAGAAACAAAAAUGUUGAUCACAUCGUAGGUCCAAAACGUAAGCACUUCAUAGUUUCCUAUGCCGAUUUGCCAUAAAAAUGUGCAAUAAGUUGAAAACUUUCACACCAACCCAAAAACAAAUUCAGACGUACACUUUGAAGUCGCCCUCUCUAUCCUAAUCCAUUCUCACAAUCGUCGAAUAUGUUUUACUUCAGUAGCCAAUACAAAAAAUUCUUCAUUGUUGGCAAAAGUAAGAAAUAAAUUCUAAAAAGUUGUACGAUAAAACUUAGCUAUUAUAAACUCACUAUGAAGCUUACUAUAGCUAAAGCUAUAAAUGAAAACCAAAAAUUCCGAAAGGCGGUGUUUUUAAAAAUAAGAAAAAAUAUUUUCAC